ACUCUGCCAUAAGUUUAUAUAAUAUGGUUAAAAACAGAGAAAGAAAAGAAGUUACCAAUUAAUUGGAUAAUCAAAGUUGCAAAAACAAGGACCAAUAUUUCUUCAAUUUUAUAAACUGCAACUUAAAUUUGGAAAGGAGAAAAUUUUUAAGUUUCAUUAUAUCAGUAAAUUUUAAGUUAUACACAAAAUUUAUUUCUCAAGAUUAAUCUGGAUUAAGUGGAGCUCUCGAUACUAACCAGCAAUUUCAACUGAUGAAUAAGUUCAGACUUCUGCAUUUCCAACUGUCGAAGUGAACAGCUCAACCUUACUACUUUUUCCUUUAGAUCUCUUAUUUCCAUGUCCUUCUCUCUGCAGAUAAAGCUACUCUACCUGGAGGAAGAUGCCAGAUUGAACAAAUGAUUCAUCAAAUUCUUGGCUUCAGGAAGGGAACGGACUUGGUUCCAACGUCCCUUGCCACUGAAAACCCGUUCCCGCUCUUCUGCCUCUGACAAAUGAGAUGCCAUUGACAGCAAUGUUGUAGAAGAAGUAGCAAUCAUUUUUUCAAGGGCAAAUAUCCUUGAAUUUCUUGCACCCGGAGACAUUGAUGCAAGGCCAGCACUAGAUUAGCAAUCCAAGCAAGCAGAUGUUGUCAAUUAUAGAUUUCCAAAUACAAGAUUGUACAAUAAAUAAAAUGGAUGAGGUAAACUCUAAUAAAAUGGCUGAGGCAAGCAGAUCUUUUUCACCUUGAAUUGUUAAGCUUCAUCAUAUCUGCUUCUUCCUUUAAUCUUGCAAUCUCGUUGGCCAUUUUAGCCCUCCUGUAAAGUAUAGUUUGUGAGGAAAACUCUAAUAUAAGAAUGACAUCUACUUGUGUAUA